UUUACACACAUAGUUACUAUUUUAAUGUUCUUCCUGUGAGUCAUUAUGAUUUGCUUCCAUCAUAUGGAUAGAGAAACAGGUUCAGGAGGGUAAAUGAGUGUUCAGAUUUAGAUCUCCUAUUCUCAGAUCCUUCUUUGUUCAGAAUACAGGUUCUGUAGUCACUUUGUAUUUCAAGAGCUUUACUUAUCUUAGAAAUUCGUGUAAUAUCUUGUCCUCUAGAUUUGGUGCUUCCAGAUGUGAGUUAUCAGGUGGAAUCCAGUGAGGAGGAUCAGUCUCAGAAUAUGGAUCCUCAAGGACAAACUCUGCUGCUUUUUCUCUUUGUGGAUUUCCACAGUGCAUUUCCAGUCCAGCAAAUGGAAAUCUGGGGAGUCUAUACUUUGCUCACAACUCAUCUCAAUGCCAUCCUUGUGGAGAGCCACAGUGUAGUGCAAGGUUCCAUCCAAUUCACUGUGGACAAGGUCUUGGAGCAACAUCACCAGGCUGCCAAGGCUCAGCAGAAACUACAGGCCUCACUCUCAGUGGCUGUGAACUCUAUCAUGAGUAUUCUGACUGGAAGCACUAGGAGCAGCUUCCGAAAGAUGUGUC
rnacentral:sRNA from 1 species